CCUACGGGGGGCUGCAGUGGGGAAUAUUGGACAAUGGGGGCAACCCUGAUCCAGCCAUGCCGCGUGUGUGAAGAAGGCCCUCGGGUUGUAAAGCACUUUCAGUGAGGAAGAACGCCUGGUGGUUAAUACCCAUCAGGAAAGACAUCACUCACAGAAGAAGCACCGGCUAACUCCGUGCCAGCAGCCGCGGUAAUACGGAGGGUGCGAGCGUUAAUCGGAAUUACUGGGCGUAAAGCGCGCGUAGGUGGCUUGAUAAUCCGGUUGUGAAAGCCCCGGGCUCAACCUGGGAACGGCAUCCGGAACUGUCAAGCUAGAGUGCAGGAGAGGAAGGUAGAAUUCCCGGUGUAGCGGUGAAAUGCGUAGAGAGCGGGAGGAAUACCAGUGGCGAAGGCGGCCUUCUGGACUGACACUGACACUGAGGUGCGAAAGCGUGGGUAGCAAACAGGAUUAGAUACCCCAGUAGUC
rnacentral:rRNA from 1 species